GACGAACGCUGGCGGCGUGCCUAAUACAUGCAAGUCGAGCGAAGUUUUUCUGGUGCUUGCACUAGAAAAACUUAGCGGCGAACGGGUGAGUAACACGUAAAGAACCUGCCUCAUAGACUGGGACAACUAUUGGAAACGAUAGCUAAUACCGGAUAACAGCAUUAACUGCAUGGUUGAUGUUUAAAAGUUGGUUAUGCUAACACUAUGAGAUGGCUUUGCGGUGCAUUAGCUAGUUGGUGGGGUAAAGGCCUACCAAGGCGACGAUGCAUAGCCGACCUGAGAGGGUGAUCGGCCACACUGGGACUGAGACACGGCCCAGACUCCUACGGGAGGCAGCAGUAGGGAAUCUUCCGCAAUGGGCGAAAGCCUGACGGAGCAACGCCGCGUGAGUGAAGAAGGAUUUCGGUUCGUAAAGCUCUGUUGUUAGGGAAGAAUGAUUGUGUAGUAACUAUACACAGUAGAGACGGUACCUAACCAGAAAGCC
rnacentral:rRNA from 1 species